GAUGGGCGUGCGCCUGAUUAGGUAGUUGGCGGAGUAACAGCCCACCAAGCCUACGAUCAGUAACUGGUGUGAGAGCACGACCAGUCACACGGGCACUGAGACACGGGCCCGACUCCUACGGGAGGCAGCAGUAAGGAAUAUUGGUCAAUGGACGCAAGUCUGAACCAGCCAUGCCGCGUGGAGGAUGAAGGUCCUCUGGAUUGUAAACUUCUUUUAUCGGAGAAGAAACCCCGACAUUCUUGUUGGGUUGACGGUACCCGAUGAAUAAGCACCGGCUAACUCCGUGCCAGCAGCCGCGGUAAUACGGAGGGUGCAAGCGUUAUCCGGAUUCACUGGGUUUAAAGGGUGCGUAGGUGGGCUAGUAAGUCCGUGGUGAAAUCUCCAAGCUUAACUUGGAAACUGCCGUGGAUACUAUUAGUCUUGAAUAUUGUGGAGGUAAGCGGAAUAUGUCAUGUAGCGGUGAAAUGCUUAGAUAUGACAUAG
rnacentral:rRNA from 1 species